rnacentral:lncRNA from 1 species
GCACCUCAAUUAACAUAAAUAGUCCAUUCCUCAACCAGAUUUUGAAACACAAUCCAUCUUGUAACUAUACAAAAUCAAACACACAGAAAAAUCCUCCUGUCGCCCCUUCAAUCCAAAAUUUCAAGCAUGGGAACCUCGUCUGUUUGCCUAGUUAUUCUCAUUUGUUCCCUUGUUCUCACAGGUGAAUGAACCCUCGAAUUUUCUUACAAUCAUUUCAUUAUUUUUCGACGAAACUUUAUAUUUGAAGAGAUAAUUACGACCAUUGAAAAACUUAUCUAACUGCAGGAAGCAGCAAGGGUAUGGAGGAGGUGAACGAUCAUGACAGGUGCUUGAUAAUUAGGGAGCCGUUAACGAACUGUGCUGAUGCAGCAUGUGACCGCAAGUGCAAAACUGAAAUCUCAGCAACUGCUGUAGGAACUUGUGAUGGCCCAAAUAUGUGCGACUGUAAUCCCUGUCUUCAUUAGUGUCAUUAAUUACAUGCUCUCGAACUUAAUCCUUCUCCUACAGAAAAUUUAGUUCAUUAUCUAAUUAAUUAAGUAAUGUAAUUCGUUUCUAGUUGAUUGAUUGAAAGUAUGCGCUCCUUUCAUUCGUAUUAUCUUUACAUCACCAUCCUCAAAUCAAAUGACAUGUGCAGCGGCGGAGCCAUGAAAUUGGC